rnacentral:rRNA from 1 species
UACGUAGGGCGCAAGCGUUGUCCGGAAUUAUUGGGCGUAAAGAGCUCGUAGGCGGCUUGUCACGUCGGGUGUGAAAGCCCGGGGCUUAACCCCGGGUCUGCAUUCGAUACGGGCUGGCUAGAGUGUGGUAGGGGAGAUCGGAAUUCCUGGUGUAGCGGUGAAAUGCGUAGAGAUCUGGAGGAACACCCGUGGCGAAGGCGGCGCCCUGGUCCGUUACUGACGCUGAGACGCGAAAGCGCGGGGAGCGAACGGG